rnacentral:rRNA from 1 species
AUGACACCGUGCCCACCGUGGCUGGGGGCUGGGGCAGAGAAGGAAGUGGCCGGCCCGGCCUGGAUAGGUCGACGACGGCGACUCGGCGGAGGGGGGCAGUUCCUGUCUGCUCGAGUUAACCCGCACUCUUUCUCUGCUCGAGUUAAGCCGGAUGGAUCGAAUUUCGUUGCAGUCUUCAUAUGCCACCGACACUUUCUUUUCACUGGCAGAGUUCAUGUUUCUGAAAUUCUUUGCCACUUGCUGCACUGGGGUGUGCUAAAGUUGACUGAAACUGGGAAACGGCUUCAACAAUAUCGGGAGCACCAUAUUUAUUACAUUUGGGGAAUUCUUCCUCCUGAUUUUCCAAUCCUUGGAUCUUCUUGUCUUCUUCUAGCACUUCAGCGCUUUCAACCACAGUAUCUUCUGUUAUAG